rnacentral:rRNA from 1 species
UACGGGGGGGGCAAGCGUUGUUCGGAAUUACUGGGCGUAAAGGGCUCGUAGGUGGCCAACUAAGUCGGACGUGAAAUCCCUCGGCUUAACCGGGGAACUGCGUCCGAUACUGGUUGGCUUGAGUUUGGGAGAGGGAUGCGGAAUUCCAGGUGUAGCGGUGAAAUGCGUAGAUAUCGGGAGGAACACCAGUGGCGAAGGCGGCUGCCUGGCCCAAUACUGACACUCAGGUGCGACAGCGUGGGGAGCAAACAGG